CAGUCAGAGGCUUCUUCAGAUCUGCUUGGUUCACAUCUGAUGGAGAUUAUUGUCAUCAUGUUUCAGACAGGUGAGGCUGUCAGAACCUGGAGAAGAACUGACACCAAUAAAAAACAUGUUGAGGUCCAGAAAGGUGGAGCAGGAAUCUGGGCAGGGAGAGAGUGGAAACACACCAGCAGAGUGGAAGAGCACGUUUUCAUGGCCACCAUGCAGCCCGACAUGCAAAGAUCUCACAACCUUUGCUCCCACGUCUCAGAUAAAUCACUACUUUCAGGUCAUCGACUAGACCUGAGGAGAUUUAUUUUACUCCAAACUACAUGUGGAAGGGGUCUCCAGGUCCGUGGCAGUUCUUCAUCACGUAGAGCAAGGUGUGUUCAUCGAUUAAAGCUCUGCUGCUGAGGAGGACAGUCAGUCUGUUUAUCAGAGCCAGGAACAGCAGCUGUGCUCCUGUUGCAGCACUGCAGAGAGGAGGAGGUGUUACAGUGUGACAAACGCAGAAUCGACGAGUCGACCGGCAGCCAGAUCCUGGCAGGACGUCAAGCAUGAGUCAUGGUGAACGGUUGUCAUGGUAACAAGCUGAAUAGUCAGACCCAUCCAGUCCUGCAUUUCAGAUCGCAACACCUCACAGUAAAACGUUUCCAGUUAAACCAAAGAACGUCUCUUCUGGACAUUGGACGGGCCUGCAGCUGUACCCUCCUCUUCCUCAGCCAUGACUUUGGAGCUAUGGGAAAAAUGUUGAAAAAUGAACAGACAGCAAAUGUUGCUCUAAUAUCUCUGCUGGACCUUUCUACCUUUAUGCUGCCACCACAGAGGUGAGCAAAGCCAAGGGCACUGAAAGCUUUAUAACAUUAAACAUUUCUGGAAUA